rnacentral:rRNA from 1 species
UACAGAGGGCUCAAGCGUUGUUCGGAUUCAUUGGGCGUAAAGGGUGCGUAGGUGGCGCCGUAAGUCAGGUGUGAAAUCUCGGGGCUCAACCCCGAAACUGCACUUGAUACUGCGGUGCUCGAGUACUGGAGAGGAGAUUGGAAUUUACGGUGUAGCAGUGAAAUGCGUAGAUAUCGUAAGGAAGACCAGUGGCGAAGGCGACUCUCUGGACAGUUACUGACACUGAGGCACGAAGGCCAGGGGAGCAAACGGG